rnacentral:rRNA from 1 species
UACAGAGGUGGCAAGCGUUGUUCGGAAUUACUGGGCGUAAAGGGCGAGUAGGUGGCCAUCUAAGUCAGACGUGAAAUCCCCCGGCUUAACCUGGGAACUGCGUCUGAUACUGGACGGCUUGAGUAUGGGAGAGGAACGUAGAAUUCCAGGUGUAGCGGUGAAAUGCGUAGAUAUCUGGAGGAACACCGGUGGCGAAGGCGGCAUCCUGGACCAACACUGACGCUGAGUGAGCGAAAGCCAGGGGAGCAAACGGG